CGAGAGGAAGUAGCAAUACUUUAGUAAAGCGGCGCACGGGUGAGUAACACGUGGAUAACCUGCCUCGAAGUGGGGAAUAACCUCGGGAAACCGGAGCUAAUACCGCAUAAUCUGACGAGAUCUGUGGAUUUUGUCAGCAAAGGAGCAAUUCGCUUUGAGAGGGGUCCGCGGCUGAUUAGCUAGUUGGUGAGGUAAUGGCUCACCAAGGCCACGAUCAGUAGCCGGUCUGAGAGGACGGUCGGCCACACUGGAACUGAGACACGGUCCAGACUCCUACGGGAGGCAGCAGUGGGGAAUUUUUCGCAAUGGGGGCAACCCUGACGAAGCAACGCCGCGUGGGUGAUGAAGUAUUUCGGUACGUAAAACCCUUUCGACGGGGACGAAACCGCAAGGUUGACGGUACCCGUAGAAGAAGCCCCGGCUAACUCCGUGCCAGCAGCCGCGGUAAUACGGGGGGGGCAAGCGUUGUUCGGAAUUACUGGGCGUAAAGGGCGCGUAGGCGGUUUGCUAAGUUGGAUGUGAAAACUCUGGGCUUAACCCAGAGCCUGCAUCCAAAACUGGCAAACUUGAGUACUGGAGGGGAAAGCGGAAAUUCCUGGUGUAGCGGUGAAAUGCGUAGAUAUCAGGAGGAACACCGGUGGCGAAGGCGGCUUUCUGGACAGUAACUGACGCUGAGGCGCGAAAGCUAGGGGAGCAACCAGGAUUAGAUACCCUGGUAGUCCUAGCCCUAAACGAUGGAUACUUGGUGUGAGGGGGAUUGAAUCCCUUCGUGCCGUAGCUAACGCAAUAAGUA
rnacentral:rRNA from 1 species